rnacentral:lncRNA from 1 species
UCAGGUCCUCUUGCUCACCCAUCAGCUGUGUAGUGUCUGAAGUGAUUAAGGAGCUUGGGGAGAAUGCUGGAAGCCAAGCUUGCACAUUCUAGGCAGCCAUUUGGAAGAUUCUUCUCUGCGCAUGACCAGCUGAAAAGGAAAAACCCCGAAACAUUGGCACUGUGAUUUCUCCAUGUGAACAGUUUAGUUCGCCGAGGUGGACAUGCCUCAUUCAUGCUUAUGGAGUGACCGACCAGCCUUUAGUGACACCCCCUGAAAUGUGAGUCAUCCAUGGGUCACUAGUCAUUGGAGAAGAGCCCCUUAUACAAAACUUGGAGCUCAGACCACAAACAACAACAACAAUCCAAAAAAUAAAAAAAUGAAAAAUUAGGAGCAGAGACUAAAUGGAAAGAUGGAAAUAUUAAAAUAAAAAUAUUAUUUUAAAAAUUAAUAUGUAUUAAAAUUUU